rnacentral:precursor_RNA from 15 species
CACCAUUUGGCUCAUUGGAAAAUGUUACCGACUACAAAAUACUCAUUCAUUAUUUAAACAAUGUGAGUUGUGAAUUUGUUUUUUGCAGUCGGUAAUACCAUAGUACAACGCUCUUAAUUGU